UACAGAGGUCCCAAGCGUUGUUCGGAUUCACUGGGCGUAAAGGGUGCGUAGGUGGUUAGGUAAGUCCGAUGUGAAAUCUCCAGGCUCAACCUGGAAAUGGCAUUGGAUACUAUCUAGCUUGAGGAGUGGAGGGGGGACUGGAAUUCUCGGUGUAGCAGUGAAAUGCGUAGAUAUCGAGAGGAACACCAGUGGCGAAGGCGAGUCCCUGAACACUUCCUGACACUGAGGCACGAAAGCUAGGGGAGCAAACAGG
rnacentral:rRNA from 1 species